rnacentral:rRNA from 1 species
UGGCGAGGCCGUUACUGACGCUGAGGCACGAAAGCGUGGGGAGCAAACAGGAUUAGAUACCCUGGUAGUCCACGCAGUAAACGAUGAGGACUUGUUGUUGGCGAUAGAAUGUCGGUGACAAAGCGAAAGCGAUAAGUCCUCCACCUGGGGAGUACGAUCGCAAGGUUGAAACUCAAAGGAAUUGACGGGGGCCCGCACAAGCGGAGGAGCAUGUGGUUUAAUUCGAUGAUACGCGAGGAACCUUACCUGGACUCAAAUGCAGACUGACCGGUGUAGAAAUACGCCUUUCCUUCGGGACAGUUUGCAAGGUGCUGCAUGGUUGUCGUCAGCUCGUGCCGUGAGGUGUCAGGUUAAGUCCUAUAACGAGCGCAACCCCUACGUCCAGUUGCCAGCGGGUAAAGCCGGGGACUCUGGAGGGACUGCCGGCGCAAGCCGAGAGGAAGGUGGGGAUGACGUCAAAUCAGCACGGCCCUUACGUCCAGGGCGACACACGUGCUACAAUGGCCGGUACAGAGGGCAGCCACCACGCGAGUGGGAGCGAAUCUCGAAAGCCGGUCUCAGUUCGGAUCGGAGUCUGCAACCCGACUCCGUGAAGUUGGAC